GAGUUUGAUCAUGGCUCAGAUUGAACGCUGGCGGCAUGCCUUACACAUGCAAGUCGAACGGCAGCAUGAUCUAGCUUGCUAGAUUGAUGGCGAGUGGCGAACGGGUGAGUAAUACAUCGGAACGUGCCCUGUAGUGGGGAGUAACUAGUCGAAAGAUUAGCUAAUACCGCAUACGACCUGAGGGUGAAAGUGGGGGACCGCAAGGCCUCAUGCUAUAGGAGCGGCCGAUGUCUGAUUAGCUAGUUGGUGGGGUAAAGGCCCACCAAGGCGACGAUCAGUAGCUGGUCUGAGAGGACGAGUCAGCCACACUUGGGACUGAGACACGGCCCAGACUCCUACGGGAGGCAGCAGUGGGGAAUUUUGGACAAUGGGCGAAAGCCUGAUCCAGCAAUGCCGCGUGUGUGAAGAAGGCC
rnacentral:rRNA from 1 species